rnacentral:rRNA from 1 species
UAGAGUUUGAUCCGGCUCAGGACGAACGCUGGCGGCGUGCUUAACACAUGCAAGUCGAGCGGAAAGGCCCUUCGGGGUACUCGAGCGGCGAACGGGUGAGUAACACGUGAGUAACCUGCCCUGGGCUUUGGGAUAACCCUCGGAAACGGGGGCUAAUACCGGAUAUCCACUUGUGAUCGCAUGGUUGUGGGUGGAAAGUUUUUCGGCCUGGGAUGGGCUCGCGGCCUAUCAGCUUGUUGGUGGGGUGAUGGCCUACCAAGGCGACGACGGGUAGCCGGCCUGAGAGGGCGACCGGCCACACUGGGACUGAGACACGGCCCAGACUCCUACGGGAGGCAGCAGUGGGGAAUAUUGCACAAUGGGCGGAAGCCUGAUGCAGCGACGCCGCGUGAGGGAUGACGGCCUUCGGGUUGUAAACCUUUUUCAGCAGGGACGAAGCGUAAGUGACGGUACCUGCAGAAGAAGCGCCGGCCAACUACGUGCCAGCAGCCGCGGUAAGACGUAGGGCGCGAGCGUUGUCCGGAUUUAUUGGGCGUAAAGAGCUCGUAGGCGGCUUGUCGCGUCGGCUGUGAAAUCCCGUGGCUCAACUGCGGGCUUGCAGCCGAUACGGGCAGGCUAGAGUUCGGUAGGGGAGACUGGAAUUCCUGGUGUAGCGGUGAAAUGCGCAGAUAUCAGGAGGAACACCGGUGGCGAAGGCGGGUCUCUGGGCCGAUACUGACGCUGAGGAGCGAAAGCGUGGGGAGCGAACAGGAUUAGAUACCCUGGUAGUCCACGCUGUAAACGUUGGGCGCUAGGUGUGGGGGGCCUCUCCGGUUCUCUGUGCCGCAGCUAACGCAUUAAGCGCCCCGCCUGGGGAGUACGGCCGCAA